ACUAGGCAUGGUGGCGCACAUCCAUAAUCAUAGCUCAUGAGAAGGUUUAAGCUGGUGGAUCUCUUGAGCUUGGCAGCUCUGAGCUGCAGGAAGUUAUGUCCUCAUUAAGUUUAGCAUCAAUAGGGUGAGCCUCCAAGACUGGGGGGCCAUCUAGUUGCCUAAAGAGGGACAAAUCAGCUCAAUUAGAAACAGAACAGGUCAAAGUUCCCAUGUCAAUCAGUAGUAGGAUCUUGUACACAAGUAAGGCUCAAUACUUUCAGCCUGGGUGAGGUAGGGUGACCUAAUCUUUA
rnacentral:SRP_RNA from 1 species